rnacentral:tRNA from 2 species
GACUCUUUAGUAUAUUUAGUAUGUUUGAUUUCCAAUCAAUUGGAUUAUAGGGUUA